GCCGUAACGGGAAGCAACGCGCGGCUGGGGACCACGAAGACCUCACGGCCACGAGUCACCCUCCGCCCUCCUUAGUCGAGAGAACGGCACCGUGCCAGAUUACCGUAUCCCGGGGUGCCAUCAAAGCGCGAUAACGACACUCCUGGUGAAUCCUGUGGAUCCUGAAGUCCGUCUAGCCACGAGGACAAGAUCCCUGGAGAAAACAGGGUUAAAGUCAUCGGUCAAGCUUUUCGGUUAGUGGUGCAGGAGUAUCGACCUCAGCAUCCCUGGACCCAGGACGCAUCAGUUAUUCAAAAGAAGAUCCUAUCGAAAGUUGGCAAGAAAAAGAAAAGGAAGAUGAACGGUAAAACAGUGCAAGAGUGAACAGCAGUGUAACGCUACGGAAAACACUCUACAAGAAGUCCACUGACAGAUAAAUGUUCUAUUAAAAUUUGGUGACCCCUCAGUGACAUUAUGGUGAAGACAGUGUUGUGACCUUAGAGAAUCAGACCACGCGGCCAAUGACAGGUGACAGAGACUCGAAGAUCAUAUUUCACACGUGCUCCAAAACGUCCAGAACUGUGAUCAGGAAGAAAAUUUAAAGGUGGACCUUAAUGAAAUUGAUCGCUCGACGUCGACUUCCUGAUCACGGAUGGUAGCAAAGAGUUGACGGUACAUGCUCGUAUCCGGACAGGAAGUACGAAGCACGCGGAGGAAAUCGCUAAUUCAAUCGCGGCAAAAGGUAUUCGCGGUGGGCGCUUGCGCGCGCUCCUAACUCUGAUUUAGCGAAGGGUGCUUCAGAGAAGGAAGAAGAGUGUUGCCCCAGGAAAGCCUCUACAGCCUCACAACGCGGUCCGACGAGUACACCGGUAGUCACCCCAGCUCCACCAUCGUGGGGGCUGGGGGACUGACAUGGUUAGGCUUUGGGGCUGGUGGCGGCGCAGGGGCCACCACCGGCGGUGGAAGUCCUGUCGAAUUUGAUGAGCACUGGGGCCGGAAGUUGUACGGGGCCAGCGUGGCCCCGCCACCACCGCCUCAUCAUCAUCAUCCACGUCUCUUCGCACCGCAGGACAUGAGGCAGAUCCUUAAGGAGGAACCGAUACCACGUGUCUGGCCGCAACCUGCACUGGGUGAUAACGGAACGGUCGCCGUGGCUAAGGCCCACUUCGAGAAACAACCCCCGAGCAACCUGAGGAAGAGUAAUUUCUUUCAUUUCGUGAUCGGCCUCUUCGAUCGGACCGGACAACCAAUAGAGAUCGAGAGGACGGCUUUCAUUGGUUUCGUUGAAAAGGAUCAGGAAUCCGAGGGUCAAAAGACAAACAACGGAAUUCAGUAUCGCUUGCAGCUUCUCUAUACUAACGGUGUCAGGCAGGAGCAGGACAUCUUUGUUCGGCUGAUAGACUCCGUGACCAAGCAGGCAAUAAUGUACGAGGGACAGGAUAAAAAUCCAGAAAUGUGCAGAGUCCUGCUGACGCACGAGGUGAUGUGCAGUCGAUGCUGCGACAAGAAAAGUUGUGGCAACAGAAACGAGACACCCAGCGAUCCUGUCAUCAUCGAUCGGUACUACCUCAAGUUCUUCCUCAAGUGUAACCAAAACUGCCUGAAGAAUGCCGGGAAUCCGCGGGACAUGAGACGCUUUCAGGUUAUCAUCUCUACCCAGGUGGAAGUGGAAGGUCCACUCCUCGCUGUAUCCGACAACAUGUUCGUACACAACAACAGCAAACACGGUCGCAGAGCGAAGAGACUCGAUCCCAACGAUCCUGGCGAGUACAGCAAAUUGAUGUACUGCACAGCCGACGGAGUGAUGCGUUACAGAGCUCUUUAUCCGCCGGCACCGAUCGCCACACCCUGCAUAAAAGCGGUAUCGCCAAGUGAAGGCUGGACGUCGGGUGGAUCUACGGUGAUUAUCGUUGGCGACAAUUUUUUCGACGGGCUGCAGGUCGUCUUUGGUACGAUGCUUGUAUGGAGCGAGUUAAUCACUGCACACGCAAUCAGGGUGCAAACACCACCGCGACAGAUACCAGGCGUAGUGGAAGUCACGCUAUCGUACAAGAGCAAGCAGUUUUGCAAAGGUGCGCCGGGACGCUUCGUCUACGUCUCAUUAACCGAGCCAUCGAUCGACUACGGUUUCCAAAGGUUACAAAAAUUGGUCCCACGGCAUCCAAGCGACCCCGAAAAAUUGGCCAAGGACACAAUCCUGAAAAGAGCAGCGGACCUGGUGGAAGCAUUUUACACGAUGUCCAGAAACGGAAACACGGGAAUACCAGGAGCACCGAGAAGUCCAGGCUCGGGUCAUCCGCCAGCCCCGCCAACGUCCGGUUCGGCCACAGCCUUCAACUCGUAUACAGGUCAACUAGCGGUAACCGUCCAGGAAAACGGUAGCGCGAAAUGGACGGACGACGGGGGUUCAGUGACGACAGGAGCCGGUGGCGGAGCCGGGGCCGGUAGCGUAGGGGGUAGCGCCGACGCCUACAGGCAAAGUAGCAGCGCAAGCCCCAGAGGGGUUGUAACCGGCGGUGGCUACUGCGGCAGCUCAGCAAGUACACCCCAUAGUCAUAGCACCAGCGGUAGCUACUCCGUAGCCAAUCCGUACACGGGCAGCCCGACGCUCUACACCUCCCCGCACGAACAAUACAGCAUUCUGUAUACGUCCGGGGACGCGAGCGCAUUCCGACCACCGAUCACCUCAGUCCCACCGCACUGGUCCACCCAGCACCACCUCGCAACAGCUGCUCAGUAACCACUAACCCGCCGUCCGCCCUAAGCAAUACGCGCGAAAACUCUUCCCGCCGAGAAUGGCGGCGACUGGUUAGGGGAUGUGGUUGGGUCACCGUUCAACAUGAAUCCAUUCAUGCUGCCGACCUGCAGUCAAGGUUACUCCGCUACUGCCAGUCCGCUACUUUCGUCUACUGGCAAAUAGUCCUACGAGAUGUAGACAAUGGAUUAUGGAUUCUUCGGUUGAUCUGCAAGAAUUCUACCGGACUGUUGUUGCUGUUUGCGGGCAUUUUUUUCGACUUCGGGAUUUGGGGAUGAAAAGUCCUCUUGGAAUUGAUCGAACGUCGGGGGAUCGUUUGUGGGAGAUUGUUUUUGUUUUCACUCUUUUUUAUAUAUAUAGUAUAUAUAUACAUAUAUAUAUAUAUAUAUAUUUGAGACAUGGACGCUCCACGUUGCUGAGUGACGUAGUGAAAUUUGUGAAGGUUUUAAGGUAUUAUGUAAGUUUUUGAAACCAGUGCAAAUCUAGUAGGGAUACUAUAGAGACGGUCGAAUUAUGUAAGUAAGGAAUUCUACAUAUCGCAAGGAUUUUCAUGGAACUUUAACUAAGGGGUUGGGGGUUAUAUAUCCGAUUGGGAUGAAUUUGUAUUUAUUGGUACAGUCGUGGUAUAGGCUGUGGUAUUCAUUGUGAGGAGAAAGUACGUGUGAGGGAUGGAGUGAACUAUUUUUUUUUUUUUUUUUUUU